UCAGAUCUAAAGGCUUGAAUUUUUUUAUAUAUUAUAUCAUAUUAAAUUUGUUUGGUUUCGAGUUUGGAUUCGGGUUCGGGUUUGGGUUCGGGUUCGGAUUCGGAUCGGGUACAAUCAAUAUCCAUAUCCAAAUUCAUAUCUGUUGGAUUUUUAUUUUUGAUAUUCAUAUCCAAAUCUAUAUCCAUUUAUAUCAGAUGAAAUCCGCUUCAUUCGGAUUUGAAUUUAGAUAAAAUUUAGAUAUCCAUAUUCAUUUACAACUCUAGGGCGGGAGCUACACCAACCUGGAUCUAUUUGCACCCCUUCC
rnacentral:lncRNA from 1 species